GAUGAACGCUGGCGGCGUGCCUAAUACAUGCAAGUCGAGCGAACGGACGAGAAGCUUGCUUCUCUGAUGUUAGCGGCGGACGGGUGAGUAACACGUGGAUAACCUACCUAUAAGUCUGGGAUAACUUCGGGAAACCGGAUCUAAUACCGGAUGAUAUUUUGAACCGCAUGGUUCAAAAGUGAAAGACGGUCUUGCUGUCACUUAUAGAUGGAUCCGCGCUGCAUUAGCUAGUUGGUAAGGUAACGGCUUACCAAGGCAACGAUGCAUAGCCGACCUGAGAGGGUGAUCGGCCACACUGGAACUGAGACACGGUCCAGACUCCUACGGGAGGCAGCAGUAGGGAAUCUUCCGCAAUGGGCGAAAGCCUGACGGAGCAACGCCGCGUGAGUGAUGAAGGUCUUCGGAUCGUAAAACUCUGUUAUUAGGGAAGAACAGAUGUGUAAGUAACUGUGCACAUCUUGACGGUACCUAAUCAGAAAGCAACGGCUAACUACGUG
rnacentral:rRNA from 1 species